AUUGAACGCUGGCGGCAGGCCUAACACAUGCAAGUCGAGCGAGCGGCGGACGGGUGAGUAAUGUCUGGGAAACUGCCUGAUGGAGGGGGAUAACUACUGGAAACGGUAGCUAAUACCGCAUACCAUCAGAUGUGCCCAGAUGGGAUUAGCUCGUAGGUGGGGUAACGGCUCACCUAGGCGACGAUCCCUAGCUGGUCUGAGAGGAUGACCAGCCAAACUGGAACGGAGAAACGGGCCAGACUCCUACGGGAGGAAGAAGUGGGGAAGAUUGCACAAGGGGCGAAAGCCUGAUGCAGACAUGCCGCGUGUGUGAAGAAGGCCUGCGGGUGGUAAAGCACGUUCAGCGGGGAGGCGUUACCCGCAGAAGAAGCACCGGCUAACUCCGUGCCAGCAGCCGCGGUAAUAC
rnacentral:rRNA from 1 species